GAAGCCACUGAGCCCCUAACAAUAUGACAAUCAGUUUGCCGCAGUAAGAACCUUUCUUUUACGAUCUAUGGUUAGAACACAGCAUGAAGUUACAAACUCGUGUACAGUAGGUGGCGGUAUGCACCUAAAAGUUGGUUGCAAUCCGACAAUAAUCAAGAGAAGAAGAAGAUUGCCGAAGUGGAAGUUACUCAGCCCGAAGUUUGCUUGCUAGCAAAGUCAUCGACUACCGUCGUAUAACAAGCUUUAUGGAAAAGAACAUGUGACAUACAACAUGCCUGGAUUGGUUUGGUGCACCUCCUCAGACAAGAUGCCAAAAAGUAUGGUGUCCUUGAUAACAUAUCAUGCUUCCCAUUUGAAAACUUCCUUGGCAUGGGUGUCUUAAUAAACAAUAGAGAGUCAUCGCUCAGUUAUUGGCCCUUGGACUCCCCCGGCACCUCUUGUACAGCAUGAAGUUUUCUGCUAUGAAGAUUUACAGAGACUCCAGAAUGAAAAACAAACCCUAAGGGAAAGCAAUGCACCAGCAGAUGACAGCGGCUCACUUCAAGAGCAGGUGAAGCAAAAUGGGAUAAUGUUGAUCAGGUCCUGAUCAGGUCGAGAGAUGUCGUUCAGACCACACAACUUUGGGAUUUUGUUUGCGAAUGUUUGUUAGAAGGAUGGUUUCCGGAAACACCGACUCAUUGAA